rnacentral:rRNA from 1 species
UACGAAGGGGGCUAGCGUUGCUCGGAAUCACUGGGCGUAAAGGGCGCGUAGGCGGGUCUUUAAGUCAGGGGUGAAAUCCUGGAGCUCAACUCCAGAACUGCCUUUGAUACUGAGGAUCUUGAGUACGGGAGAGGUGAGUGGAACUGCGAGUGUAGAGGUGAAAUUCGUAGAUAUUCGCAAGAACACCAGUGGCGAAGGCGGCUCACUGGCCCGUAACUGACGCUGAGGCACGAAGGCUAGGGGAGCAAAAGGG